rnacentral:rRNA from 1 species
ACACGGUGGAUGCCCUGGCAGUCAGAGGCGAUGAAGGACGUGCUAAUCUGCGAUAAGCGUCGGUAAGGUGAUAUGAACCGUUAUAACCGGCGAUUUCCGAAUGGGGAAACCCAGUGUGUUUCGACACACUAUCAUUAACUGAAUCCAUAGGUUAAUGAGGCGAACCGGGGGAACUGAAACAUCUAAGUACCCCGAGGAAAAGAAAUCAACCGAGAUUCCCCCAGUAGCGGCGAGCGAACGGGGAGCAGCCCAGAGCCUGAAUCAGUGUGUGUGUUAGUGGAAGCGUCUGGAAAGGCGCGCGAUACAGGGUGACAGCCCCGUACACAAAAAUGCACAUGCUGUGAGCUCGAUGAGUAGGGCGGGACACGUGGUAUCCUGUCUGAAUAUGGGGGGACCAUCCUCCAAGGCUAAAUACUCCUGACUGACCGAUAGUGAACCAGUACCGUGAGGGAAAGGCGAAAAGAACCCCGGCGAGGGGAGUGAAAAAGAACCUGAAACCGUGUACGUACAAGCAGUGGGAGCACGCUUAGGCGUGUGACUGCGUACCUUUUGUAUAAUGGGUCAGCGACUUAUAUUCUGUAGCAAGGUUAACCGAAUAGGGGAGCCGAAGGGAAACCGAGUCUUAACUGGGCGUUAAGUUGCAGGGUAUAGACCCGAAACCCGGUGAUCUAGCCAUGGGCAGGUUGAAGGUUGGGUAACACUAACUGGAGGACCGAACCGACUAAUGUUGAAAAAUUAGCGGAUGACUUGUGGCUGGGGGUGAAAGGCCAAUCAAACCGGGAGAUAGCUGGUUCUCCCCGAAAGCUAUUUAGGUAGCGCCUCGUGAAUUCAUCUCCGGGGGUAGAGCACUGUUUCGGCAAGGGGGUCAUCCCGACUUACCAACCCGAUGCAAACUGCGAAUACCGGAGAAUGUUAUCACGGGAGACACACGGCGGGUGCUAACGUCCGUCGUGAAGAGGGAAACAACCCAGACCGCCAGCUAAGGUCCCAAAGUCAUGGUUAAGUGGGAAACGAUGUGGGAAGGCCCAGACAGCCAGGAUGUUGGCUUAGAAGCAGCCAUCAUUUAAAGAAAGCGUAAUAGCUCACUGGUCGAGUCGGCCUGCGCGGAAGAUGUAACGGGGCUAAACCAUG